rnacentral:lncRNA from 1 species
CCUCUGUGCACGAUUUUAUCAUUUUUUACGCAAAUAUACUGUAUAAUCGUCAAUUUUUUUUCUCUCUGUCUGUUAUGAUUUAACAAAUAUGGCUACUCAUUAAAUGUCAUGUUUUGAAGCCGAAGUUUACCGAUUGUCACCUUAUAGUAAAUAAUCAACAAAAAAGCAUGGGUAUUUAGCACGUGUUUAACAUAUACAAUCAGGUAAUUGUUUAUUUUAAUGACAGAUUCAUGUGUAUUGCUAUCACCAGAUUUUUACGAGGAGGGUCACGCUUAGGUCACUAUGCAUACGGAAAAUAUGUCUGCGAAUUGCUUCCUGGCAGCAAGCAAUUAAAAAUAAGUAAACUUCUUCUAAAU